AAAACGGUAGGUGAGGUUACCGUAGGGAUUUGGAAUUCCUAAGAUUGCUGCCGCAAAGCUGUGGAGACACAACGAGUUGGUUAACAGGUGAAAUCGCGAAGGUUUUACUUAAUGCAAUUUUUAUGCCCUACGAAGCUAAAGCUUGAACGAAAA
rnacentral:sRNA from 1 species